CCCUAUGCCGGCAGGCUUUACCCAUGCAAGUCGAGCGGUAGCACAGGGGAGCUUGCUCCCUGGGUGACGAGCGGCGGACGGGUGAGUAAUGUCUGGGAAACUGCCUGAUGGAGGGGGAUAACUACUGGAAACGGUAGCUAAUACCGCAUAACGUCGCAAGACCAAAGAGGGGGACCUUCGGGCCUCUUGCCAUCAGAUGUGCCCAGAUGGGAUUAGCUAGUAGGUGGGGUAAUGGCUCACCUAGGCGACGAUCCCUAGCUGGUCUGAGAGGAUGACCAGCCACACUGGAACUGAGACACGGUCCAGACUCCUACGGGAGGCAGCAGUGGGGAAUAUUGCACAAUGGGCGCAAGCCUGAUGCAGCCAUGCCGCGUGUGUGAAGAAGGCCUUCGGGUUGUAAAGCACUUUCAGCGAGGAGGAAGGUGGUGAGCUUAAUACGCUCAUCAAUUGACGUUACUCGCAGAAGAAGCACCGGCUAACUCCGUGCCAGCAGCCGCGGUAAUACGGAGGGUGCAAGCGUUAAUCGGAAUUACUGGGCGUAAAGCGCACGCAGGCGGUUUGUUAAGUCAGAUGUGAAAUCCCCGGGCUCAACCUGGGAACUGCAUUUGAAACUGGCAAGCUAGAGUCUCGUAGAGGGGGGUAGAAUUCCAGGUGUAGCGGUGAAAUGCGUAGAGAUCUGGAGGAAUACCGGUGGCGAAGGCGGCCCCCUGGACGAAGACUGACGCUCAGGUGCGAAAGCGUGGGGAGCAACAGGAUUAGAUACCCUGGUAGUCCACGCUGUAAACGAUGUCGAUUUGGAGGUUGUGCCCUUGAGGCGUGGCUUCCGGAGCUAACGCGUUAAAUCGACCGCCUGGGGAGUACGGCCGCAAGGUUAAAACUCAAAUGAAUUGACGGGGGCCCGCACAAGCGGUGGAGCAUGUGGUUUAAUUCGAUGCAACGCGAAGAACCUUACCUACUCUUGACAUCCAGAGAACUUUCCAGAGAUGGAUUGGUGCCUUCGGGAACUCUGAGACAGGUGCUGCAUGGCUGUCGUCAGCUCGUGUUGUGAAUGUUGGGUUAGGUCCCGCACGAGCGCACCCUUAUCCUUGUGCAGCGUUCGGCGGGACUCAAGAACUGCCAUGAUAACUGGAGAGUGGGGAUGACGGUCAAGUCAUCAUGGUCCUGACGGAGUAGGGUCUUAUCACACGUGGACCUUACACAUG
rnacentral:rRNA from 1 species